GCGGCCUAUCAGCUUGUUGGUGAGGUAAUGGCUCACCAAGGCAACGACGGGUAGCCGGCCUGAGAGGGCGACCGGCCACACUGGGACUGAGACACGGCCCAGACUCCUACGGGAGGCAGCAGUGGGGAAUAUUGGGCAAUGGAGGAAACUCUGACCCAGCGACGCCGCGUGCGGGAUGAAGGCCUUCGGGUUGUAAACCGCUUUCAGUAGGGAAGAGGCGAAAGUGACGGUACCUACAAAAGAAGCACCGGCUAACUAUGUGCCAGCAGCCGCGGUAAUACAUAGGGUGCAAGCGUUGUCCGGAAUUAUUGGGCGUAAAGAGCUCGUAGGUCGUUUGUCGCGUCGAUUGUGAAAAUCUGAGGCUCAACCUCAGACCUGCAUUCGAUACGGGCAAACUAGAGUGUGGUAGGGGAGACUGGAAUUCCU
rnacentral:rRNA from 1 species